CCCCCUCUCCAUCGUCUCUCUCAGAGAUGAACCAGACACCCCCCUGAAACCCUAGCUGCCAUGGAAGCACCAAGCUUGCAACCCUGCGGCAGCCACCCCAAUCCACACCAAAAUAACACUCUUGAUACACCUCAACCCCCUCUCCAUAAAUCCAUUAACCUUUUACCUCGAAUCACCCUACAACUUCUCGAAUCUUCAAUUGAAGAUUCAAGCCAAACUGAACCCUACCCCAAUCGAGCCAAAUUCACAUCACAGCACCCCUAGGCCAUCCUCACCCCUAAGCCGCCACUGUUUCUCUUCGAAUCACCUGGGAACCACUCGAAUCCCAAUUCGAACCCAAGAACCCUAGAAGACCAAAACUUUGGUUCUGUCCAAAAAUUGAAGAAAUUAGGGUGUCAAUCGAGAACACUUGAUUAAAGUCCAUUUUCUACCCCAAAAAGGCUCGAGUCUGAGUUCGAAAUCGAGGUCGUCCAGCUUUUGUCUAUUUUAAGGUAUUUUUCUUCUGUUCUUUUAUUCUUUUGGUAUUAUUAAUUUAUUUUUAGUUUUGUUAUUUUGAUUUUUUUCGAUUUUUGUUAUAUAUUAUGUUCUUCUCCAAAUCAGGCCUUUUAUUUGGCAAAUUUUCCUUUCUUCUGUUCAUUGAUGAAGUAUAGGCUGUACAUUAUAUAAUCAACGUGAGUACAUUUGUCGAUUAAUUGGUUCCCUUAUAGCCUAUGUUUUUGUCAAUGUCACUCGAACCCGUCUGUUGGUGUUUACUCUAGAUUUUGUUCUAUUUCUGGUUGAAUGGUCCAAACCAGGACAAGAGCAGUAGAACUUGUAUAAACUGUAGCUAUUUUCGUAAUUGCUCGUUAUUACUAUUAGUUCAAAGUGUGUCGUCUAUGAUUGUCUAUCAUCUGGAUUAUGAAUUCAGUUUAUUCUUCGUUCAGUGCAUUUGUUUAGGUUUGAUUUAGGAAUGUGAUUUGUUUCCAAUGUGGAUAGUGUUUAUUUUGUGUCAGUCAUGUUUCUUUUUAGAAGUUCAAUACAGCUUUGUUCUCAUUCAUUGGUUUUAGUAGUUCUAAAUUGAACUGCUGAUUAAGGUUGAUGAAUUGAAUCUCAAUAUCUGGUCUGAUUAAAUCUGUCAUUGUUGAGUUAUCCUAAUGUGGUUGACAGGAAAUUAGUUUCAUAUGUUUAGUAAUCAGAUUGGUUAUAGCUGAUAAUUAAAUUUGAGUUUUAGAUAGUUCUAAGUUUGGUUUCCCUUGCUGAUGUUGGGAAUCAGAACAAUAGUAGUUAGUAGGAGUCCCACGGUAUUUUAGGAAUAAAAAAAAUAAGAAAAUGAAAUUUGACUGAAUAGUCUAUCCUGUAGGACCUCAAUGUGCUUUAAUUUGAAUUAAUUAGUAGGGGGACCAUUGACAAUGAUGAAUGUUGACUACUUUGCUUAAUCGAAAUUAGGAAUAGUGUAAGUGAUGAUAAAAGUCGCAUAGAAUAGUAUCUUUUGGGGGCUGAAUGUUAAAGUAAGGUAAUAAUAAAAGGUUUAUAGAGUAAUAAUUAAAGUGGAAGAAAAAAGAGGGUCUUAUUUGAAUAAAUAAGAGCCAUUGACUAUUUUUAAGGGAUCAGAUUUUACAGAACAAAAAACUUGAAAAAAAGAAGUAAGGGUCUUCAGAAUCAAAAACAGUUGGAAAUUUUCUGCUCCUAGUUUCAAAAAUCAUUUCGAGUGUUGGAAGUGUUAGUUGACUGAGAGUUUUUUAUAGGUUUUUAGGCAGUUGAAAAAGAGUUUAAAAAAAUCAGUUUUGUGAAUUCUUCCUUGAAAACUUCUUUUGAAAGCUUAGACCUAGUCUGUUUGAAGUAUAAGUGGGGCAUUGUUCCAUUAAGUUCUAGCUUUAGAAGUUCAUUUGGGGUCUAUUGGGUAGUGAUUGUUGCUGUGAGGUUAUACAAUGCAGUUUGAUUUUGGUAUUAGUGUAUCUCUGGUUUGAAGUUGGUAUUGCUGCAUCAGUUAGUAGUUCAGUAAAAUAAUGUAAGCAUCCAAAAAUAUAUGUAUUAGCCUCAAUCUGGUAUAGCUUAAAUUUGCAAGUCCAAAUCCGUUUAUGUUAGUUAGGAAAAAUUAAUGAAAACAACAUGACUAUUCUGCCUAUUCUAGUUAUUUUUUUCUUUCGACUCAGUUGUAGAAUAGUUAAAUAGACCUCAUGUGAAUAAUAAUUAACUAGUAAUUCUAGCUGAUAGUUCGUCUAUUCUAGGCUCACAAUAAGCUUCUCCAACCGUUAAUUUCAUAUUUUGCCUUUACUUGUUAGUAUCAAACAUAGGCAAACAAAGUAAUCAGCCCUCCUUAAAGGCCAAACGAGAUGGCCCAGGCCCAUUUAUGCCCUGCUUGGGCCUAAGAUAAUUUCGAAUUAAGUGGCCCAGGCCUCCAUCCUUGCGCCUCACGUCGGGUUUGGAGCCCAAACUGUUUUUCUACUCUUUUCCCCUUUUUUUCAUUGCUAAGUUAAUACCAUGGUUUUAAUUUAGUCUAAUAAUUCUAGCAUGUAAAUAAUAUAUGAUUUUUUAUUUCUUUUUAGAGACGCAAACAAAAAUAGAAAAUAUUAGUCGCUAUAGGACAUCCUUUAAAAAUGAAAUGGGCGUGCCUCGCCAAAAUCAAAUUAGAAAUCGUGAGGCCCUCAAUUAAAAGAAUAAUAAGUGAAUAGACUUCGGAAUUGGCCGUUUAGUGAAUUUCACGGCCUUUUUCCCCAAAAAUAAUAUGUUAGUCUCUUUAGGACGCGCCUUAAUUAAACUUUACCUUCCUAAACUCGGGUGUGCAUUUAUGCGACCCAAAUUCAAGUCUCGAUGAAGUCGAAACGUGUCAACCAACUACGUGUACACUGGUUGUGACGUGGUUCGAGAUGCAUUUCAAUGACGUCGUAAUUCUUAAAAAUAAGCAACUAAAAGAGGUGUGCCUCGCCAAACGAAAAAAUACGCAAAUUGCGGGGUCCUCUAUCCAUGUUCGUUGUGCAAGAUCGCUUAGACUCUGGACUGGCCAGUUGAUAAGAAUUCACGGCCUUGUCCAAAACCAUACUACGCAAGUCGCUUAGGGCGCGUCUUUAAUAAAAUGACCUCCCUAAAUACGGGUAUGCAUUUAUACAACCCAAAUCCAAAUCUCGAUGAAGUUGAAAUGUGUCGAAGACCACGUGUACACUGGUUGUGACGUGGUUCGAGAUAUGUUUUCACGACAUUGUAAUUCUCUGUAAAAUAAUAAUAAUAAUUAUUAUUAUUAUUAUUAUUAUUAUUAUUAUAAUGAUAAAAACUGUUCCAAGUUAAUAUUUGCUUUUAAGAUCAUAAUUGUAAAAAUCAUAUAAUUAAGCCGAAUAUGAAAGUUGAGCGACCGUGCUAGAACCACAAAACUCGAAAAUGCCUAACACCUUCUCCCGAGUUAACAGAAUUCGUUAUUCAGAUUUAUGGUUCCCUGACGGUUAAACUGAGUCAUUCUUUUCCUCGAUUCGGGAUUAAAAUCGGUGACAUGGGACACCAUAAUCUCCCAAGUGGCGACUCUUAAUUAAAUAAAAAAAUCCCGUUUCAAUUGUCCGUUAAUUGAAAAAACUCCCUUGCGCCCUCGCGGUUGCAAAAAAAGGAGGAUUGACAGCUCUGGCGACUCUGCUGGGGAUAUCCUGACCCAGAACCACUGGUUCAGGGUUAGAAAUUCGAGCUUAGAAGAAUUGUUCUUUUUGGGUUUAUUUAUUAUCUGAUUUUAUUAUAUGAUUGAGCUUAAAUGUGCGAAAUGAUGCUUUUUACCGCUUUGACAUUAUUUGAAUUGUAUAUAUAAAAUGUACUGAAACCCUUCUCUUCUCUCUUUUGAGGAGUGCACGCUGUUCGUGACUUCUUUCUGUUAGUGUCAUAAUCCCAAUUUAGUACGGGAAUUCGGUGGGAUUGCAAAACCGGAGGAUCUUUUGUUUACCGGCACGCAGUUCCCAUCCUCGGCUUGAGUUGUUCGCUCGGGUAAAAAGCCAGGUCUGGAACAAUAACCCAGGUUGAAGUUUAGUAUAUCAUAUCUUCAUGCCGGAUCCCUAGUAGGAAACGUUUGUUUUGCAUCACGUUGCAUUUGACUUAGGGGGAUCAACACAGGGGUUGGGCCCGCCUAGGAAUAGAAACCUGAAACAAAAAAACCAUCCUCCUGCAUCUUGUUUGAUUUAUGUAUCUAUUUGUUCAGACUCGCAUGCUGACCGACAUACGAAAUUGGGAAUAUUAGAAAAUUGCAAGAGAGAGAAAUAGCAGUGUAAAGAUAACUAUUAUUUUUUUUAAAAUAAAAAAUUAAAAGAGUCAAUAUUUUUGGAUUUUCUUGUUUUCAAAGAGUCUUUAUUUUUUGAAAUAGGUUAAUUUAUUAUAUGUUGACAAAAAAAAACAGUCUUUGUUAUAAGUUUGGAAAAAUAGGUUAUUCAAAAUGAAAAUCAUUAUUUUGUCUUGCUUUCAAGAAAUAAAAAAGAAAAAUAGUUUGCUGCCAAAAAUGAAAAUAAAAAGGAUCUUGUUUUAAAAUAGUCUAGUUAAUUGGGCGAACUACACUGGUUUGAUUCUCACAGGGUGUGGGAUAUGUAGGCAACCCUCAUCGGGUCCAAUUGCCCUUUUACAAAAAUAACCAAAAAUGUUGAUUUUCAGAGUCGGGCUAGACUGUUUGUCGAAUAUAGCCGAAUUUUCCCUAAAGGGACGACGGAAGGUUAAUUUUACGAAAAUAGCCACUUUUGGUCGUUAUUGAUUUUUUUACCAAAUUAGCCCCUGCAGUCCUAAACCCUCGUCCUCGAGGCUCUGAAAGGCCGUAAUCGCACGACGGAUUGUGUUUUUGAAAAAUAAUUUUUGCAUACGUUAGGUGACGCCGUUUUAUCAUAAUAGCCGAAUUUUCCCGAAUAGGACGCCGGAAGGCUGACUUGGUAUGAACGGCCGCCUUUAGUCAUAUUUUAGUCAGCACAGCCUUGAAAAUUCUCCGCCCACGAGGUGUUGAAAGGCCGUGUUCAAAUUGUAUCUUCUGUUUUGUUUGAAUUUUGAAAAUUUUAGGUCCAUUUUGAGUCCAGUAUAGCAAGCCUUUGCCUAAAACCACUCCAACAAAUGUGCAGAAUGAAUCGCGAAAUCCCCAGAUUUUGUAUGGUAUCCAACAUUCACCCAAGGCUGGUAAGUUGGUGGGAGAAUCUUCACGAUGGUGACCAGGCCUUCAUCUGCAGGCAACUAGGGGAUCUCCCUUCGCUUUGAAAGUCCGCCAGACAACAGAAUCAUUGAGGCCAUUGCUUUAUUCUGGGACUACG
rnacentral:lncRNA from 1 species